GGAGAGAAAUUUGGAAAGAGUGUUGGAAGAAGUGAUGGAAGUUCCAGAAGUUACGGGAUGUGUUCUAACAAACAGCCAAGGUUUGUGUCUUGGUGUUAAAGGAAAGGCUUCACACGAAAGCGCUGGCAUAAUUAAAGCUAUAGCGAGUCAGGUAUCCCGAUUAGAGCCCGACUCGAAAACUCCAGUGAUCCUCUUCGAAAAUGAUACAAGACAGUGUCUCAUCCAGAGUCAUGGAAAUGUGACAGCUGCUAUAUAUAAAGCCCAUACUGCCACGGCCUGAGAAUUAGUGGGGUAAGAUCGAAGCAGGUGUCCUUUCCAGACAUGGUGAAGGAUCCUGCUUCAAUCUUACCUCAUUUGUCAUUGACCACUGAUCUCACUGAAGAACGAUAACCCAAAAGUAGCCACAACACGGAGGAAAUCAACCAGAUUUGGGCAAUGCUUGUCUGUGCUAUGUAAAUAUGUUCUCUUCUGUGCUGGAGAUGUUUGUAAUAAAUGUUUUUUU